UAUUCAUAUUGGGUUAUAAUUGAUUGUACUGCAGGAAUAAUUGUUGCAGACUGACAAUGGAAACAUGUAUCAUUGGUUGAUGGGAGGUGGACAACUUCAAGAGCAGCAGCAGCAGCAGCAACUAAUGGGGCAGAUGCCGUUUAUCUAUGGAGAAGACCAGCCAAGUAGCAGUACCGUACUCCAGCUUGGUACUUCAUCUUCAUCGCCUCAUCAGUAUUAUCCUUACCGCCUUCAACCCACUCAUCCUAACCUUCAAGACUAUGAGUGAGUUGUGUCCAAAGCAAGGCUAUGCGCGUGGGUGUAUCAGUUCUGACAGAAUGAAGAUGGAUAUGCUUCAAGUGUGGCUUAACAGUUUUAGAGUUAAAUACGGUUUACAAAUGUUUGCUACUACAUAAAUCUUGUUACAUAGUUUACAAAUUAAACCUGUUUUUAGUCUCAGGAAAUUAUCUCUGAUGUAUGAUUUUCUGAUUGUUGUGUACUGUGUUUUAAC